rnacentral:rRNA from 1 species
UACGAAGGGGGCUAGCGUUGUUCGGAAUUACUGGGCGUAAAGCGCACGUAGGCGGCCUGUUAAGUCAGGGGUGAAAUCCUGGAGCUCAACUCCAGAACUGCCUUUGAUACUGAUGGUCUCGAGUCCGGAAGAGGUGAGUGGAAUUCCGAGUGUAGAGGUGAAAUUCGUAGAUAUUCGGAGGAACACCAGUGGCGAAGGCGGCUCACUGGUCCGGUACUGACGCUGAGGUGCGAAAGCGUGGGGAGCAAACAGG